AUGGAAAGUGUUCAAUUAGAACAUGAAAACGUGACUCAAUUGGUCUUAGUUAGUCUUCGGGGCGGAGUGGAAGAAGGGCGGAGACUCUCGAACAAGGAAAAGGAUCCCUUCGAAAGAAUUGACCGAGGAGAUGUACGAGGUGAAAAUCUCAUGUACGGUUCUCUCUCUCUCUCUCUCUCUCUCUCUCUCUCUCUCUCUCUCUCUUGGAAAAAAAUGCUAGACACAACUUUCGUUGGUGGUGCGUUAUUUUCAAGCAACGUCAUCACUAUAUUUUACAAAAAGUGGCGGCGUUGA
rnacentral:rRNA from 1 species